GUAGGGGGCAAGCGUUGUCCGGAUUUAUUGGGCGUAAAGAGCGUGUAGGCGGCCAGGUAGGUCUGCUGUGAAAACUCGAGGCUCAACCUCGAGAUGUCGGCGGAAACCAUCUGGCUAGAGUCCGGAAGAGGAAAGUGGAAUUCCCGGUGUAGCGGUGAAAUGCGCAGAUAUCGGGAAGAACACCCGUGGCGAAGGCGGCUUUCUGGGACGGUACUGACGCUGAGACGCGAAAGCGUGGGGAGCGAACAGGAUUAGAUACCCUGGUAGUCCACGCCGUAAACGAUGGGAACUAGGUGUGGGCGGUGUCGACUCCGUCCGUGCCGAAGCUAGCGCAUUAAGUUCCCCGCCUGGGGAGUACGGCCGCAAGGCUA
rnacentral:rRNA from 1 species